UUCAGUUCACCCUUCCUUCUCUUUCUCCUUCAAUUCCCCAGUUUUAAAAAUGGGAAUACCAUUACAUGGCUCCAUCACAAUAAUUUUCAUACUAUAACUGAGUCACACAGCAGUGAUUAAACAUGCAAAAUCCUGUACAGCAUGGACUAGAUUCAGCAUAAAGCCUGAUGAGCAUCAUUCCAAAUCCUAUCUGGAAGACUAUGUCCUUGGCACCACUGCAAAUACCAACCUCCUAGAAAACCUUUCCUGGCACAAAACAACUUUAUUCCUUCCUCCUUAAAGAUGAACAGCACAAUGCCUACAUUCCAAUUUUAUGCACCUGUAACUCAUGGGCUGGGCUUCUCCAUCCCUUUGUCUUACAUGUAUGAUGUAAAAGACAAGAAUGUUUUCCUUGUGUGUGCUAAUCAUUACUGCAAAAAUAAGAGUGCAAGGGUGAAACAGUCAUUUAGGGUGACAUGAAAGUUGGUUCUAAUGCCAAUAUUUUAUAUAUCAACAGAGCCUGAGUCCCAUGUAACCCCCCCUUGGCACACCUUGUGCUGUUGUUAACACCUGGUCAGAAUGUGACAGGUUUCAAAAUGAAGUAUUUUACAUGCUCUGUCGGUGAAGGAACAACCAUAUCAGCAAAACAAUAGACACUGAAGCUUACUUACCAGAUUCUAAUUUAUACUGAUCAGUUAGGAAUACAGAAAAGCACAAAAUAGGGAACAACUCAAAUUACUCUAGCAGAAACAGAUGGGUGGUAAGGGUGGGAGGUUGCCUUUGUUGUGUUUGAUGAUGAAGUAUGUUCAGAGCUGUUGUUGGGCAUUUGGGACUAAAUGCAUCCAGGUGACACAAAGCCUGCAGGAUCUUUUUGAGAAAGUCUGUCUGAGAGAAGUGGGGAGGGAGAAGAGCUGUUCAGGUUAGUUUAGCUGCUCACAGGGAGGCAGACCCCAAAGGAUUUGCACUCAGGCUUCCCCUCGAGAUCUGCUUGCCAAACUCAGUGAGCACAGAACCUGUGGAGCAAUGAGCAAAAUAAAUGGGAUUACAUUUCUAAGUCCCUAACAGUUCCUGAGAGAAGGAAGUGGGAAUGGGAAAGGCACCAGAGAGGGAAUCUCUUGUAGCAAACAGCACCUCUGAAGAAGCAUUCACAGUCUGUUUAGCCUAAAUAAUUGUUCUCUCAUGAUAAAGCUUUCACUUAAGACCCCUAGUAGACAUUUAAAAUCCAGCUUCAAAAAAUGUUGCCAGAAUAAGACUCUGGAUGAAGCAGACAACAGGUCUGACUUGGCAUGACAAAUCCUGCUCAGCAGCCCAAGGGUUAAGUCUAUGAGCCAGAGCAGCAGGCUCUUUGCUUCUGCUUCCUCCCACAGCAGUAACCCACAAAACUUCAAUGGGACAGUUGUGCAGUUUGUGUCCACGCUGCAAUGCCCUGGUACAGAGGUAUCCCUAGCACUCUCUUGCCCUUUCCUGCCUCCACUCUUCAUUGGAAGGAGUAGGAGGAAGAGGGAUUUCCUUCCAUUCCUUCCAGAAAAGCAACCAGAUGCCCUGAGCUGUGGUAUGGCCCCAAGCCAUUGAGUCUAUAAUACCCUGAAUGCAGAGAAGAGCUUCUGCCUCACACCUCCCCUCAGGAACAAGAAUACAAUUAUCACCAGCUUUGGCCCCUGCUGCUGAAGACGUGUUUUACUCUCUUUUGCCAUGAGAAUCUCCCACUGUUCCCACUGCACCUUCCCAAACUCUGUCUUUCCACUUUUUCACAUUGGGUCUGGAAAAGAAGUCUUGUUGUUUUUCCAGACAUGAGUCUUCUCAUCCAAAAUCCCAACCUUAUGCCCAAGGAUAUCACACCAGGCCCCACAAGCUAUCCUCUCCAGGGAACACUGUGGAUAGCUAAUUGCUCUCGUGUUCUUCAUUUGCUAAGGUAUGCCCACCCCAGCAGUUCUCAGGGACCAGGACCAGAGGUAGCUGCCAGCUGGAAGUUCUUUGGGUCAGAAACUGCUCAA